rnacentral:rRNA from 1 species
UACGUAGGUGGCAAGCGUUGUCCGGAUUUAUUGGGUUUAAAGGGUGCGUAGGCGGCCCUGUAAGUCAGUGCUGAAAUAUCCCAGCUUAACUGGGAGGGUGGCAUUAAUACUGCGGGGCUAGAGUACAGAUGAGGUAGGCGGAAUUGACGGUGUAGCGGUGAAAUGCUUAGAUAUCGUCAAGAACACCUAUAGCGAAGGCAGCUUACUAGGCUGUAACUGACGCUGAGGCACGAAAGUGUGGGGAUCAAACAGG